rnacentral:rRNA from 1 species
GGAGUCUAGCAUGUGCGCGAGUCAUUGGGACUAGCGAAACCUAAAGGCGAAAUGAAAGUGAAAGUCGGCCUCGCGCCGACCUAGGGAGGAUGGGUCGCGUUUCGGCGCGACCCCGCACUCCCGGGGCGUCUCAUUCUCAUUGCGAGAAGAGGCGCACCUAGAGCGUACACGCUGGGACCCGAAAGAUGGUGAACUAUGCCUGGUCAGGACGAAGUCAGGGGAAACCCUGAUGGAGGUCCGAAGCGAUUCUGACGUGCAAAUCGAUCGUCGGAACUGGGUAUAGGGGCGAAAGACUAAUCGAACCAUCUAGUAGCUGGUUCCCUCCGAAGUUUCCCUCAGGAUAGCUGGCGCUCGCUUUUGCGAGUCUCAUCUGGUAAAGCGAAUGAUUAGAGGCAUUGGGGUCGAAACGGCCUCAACCUAUUCUCAAACUUUAAAUGGGUGAGAUCUCCGGCUUGCUUGAAUUGUGAAGCCGCGAGAUCGGAUCAGAGUGCCAAGUGGGCCAUUUUUGGUAAGCAGAACUGGCGCUGUGGGAUGAACCAAACGCAGAGUUAAAGCUCCAAAAUCAACGCUUAUGGGAUACCAUGAAAGGCGUUGGUAACUUAAGACAGCAGGACGGUGGCCAUGGAA